rnacentral:rRNA from 1 species
CAAUAGCGUAUAUUAAAGCUGUUGCAGUUAAAAAGCUCGUAGUUGGAUUUCUGGUGGGAGCGAUCGGUCUGGCGCUUAGCGCGAGUACUUGCAUCGUCUCCGGCCAUCCUUGGGGAGAGUCUGUCUGGCAUUAAGUUGUCGGGCAGAGGAUCCUCAUCGUUUACUGUGAAAAAAUUAGAGUGUUCAAAGCAGGCUUAUGCCGUUGAAUAUAUUAGCAUGGAAUAAUAAGAUAGGACUUUGGUACUAUUUUGUUGGUUUGCGCACCAAAGUAAUGAUUAAUAGGGACAGUUGGGGGUAUUCGUAUUCCGUUGUCAGAGGUGAAAUUCUUGGAUUUACGGAAGACGAACUACUGCGAAAGCAUUUACCAAGGAUGUUUUCAUUAA